rnacentral:rRNA from 1 species
UACAGAGGGUGCAAGCGUUAAUCGGAAUUACUGGGCGUAAAGCGUGCGUAGACGGUUGCAUAAGUCAGAUGUGAAAGCCCCCGGGCUCAACCUGGGAAUUGCAUUUGAGACUGUGUAGCUAGGGUGCGGAAGAGGGAAGCGGAAUUUCCGGUGUAGCGGUGAAAUGCGUAGAUAUCGGAAGGAACACCAGUGGCGAAAAGCGGCUUCCUGGUCCAGCACCGACGUUCAGGCACGAAAGCGUGGGGAGCAAACAGG